GUGCCAGCAGCCGCGGUAAUACCGGCAGCCCAAGUGAUGGCCGAUCUUAUUGGGCCUAAAGCGUCCGUAGCUGGGUCUGAAAGUCCAUCGGGAAAUCCACUCGCUCAACGAGUGGCCGUCCGGUGGAAACUCCACACCUUGGGACCGGAAGGCUCGAGGGGUACGUCCGGGGUAGGAGUGAAAUCCCGUAAUCCCGCACGGACCACCGAUGGCGAAAGCACUUCGAGAAAACGGAUCCGACAGUGAGGGACGAAAGCCAGGGUCUCCAACCGGAUUAGAAACCCUGGUAGUCC
rnacentral:rRNA from 1 species